GACAGGGGGUGCAAGCGUUAUUCGGAAUUACUGGGCGUAAAGAGCGUGUAGGCGGUUUAGUAAGUCCACUGUGAAAGCCCUCGGCUCAAUCGAGGAAGUGCAGCGGAUACUGCUAGACUAGAGUGCAGGAGAGGAGAGUGGAAUUCCUGGUGUAGAGGUGAAAUUCGUAGAUAUCAGGAGGAACAACAGUGGCGAAGGCGGCUCUCUGGACUGUAACUGACGCUUAGGCGCGAAAGCGUGGGGAGCAAACAGG
rnacentral:rRNA from 1 species